UUGUUGGUGGGGUGAUGGCCUACCAAGGCGACGACGGGUAGCCGGCCUGAGAGGGCGACCGGCCACACUGGGACUGAGACACGGCCCAGACUCCUACGGGAGGCAGCAGUGGGGAAUCUUGCGCAAUGGGCGAAAGCCUGACGCAGCGACGCCGCGUGAGGGAUGACGGCCUUCGGGCUGUAAACCUCUUUCAGCCCUGACGAAGCGAGAGUGACGGUAGGGGCAGAAGAAGCACCGGCCAACUACGUGCCAGCAGCCGCGGUAAUACGUAGGGUGCGAGCGUUGUCCGGAAUUAUUGGGCGUAAAGAGCUCGUAGGCGGUCUGUCGCGUCGGCUGUGAAAACUCGGGGCUCAACCCCGAGCUUGCAGUCGAUACAGGCAGGCUAGAGUUCGGCAGGGGAGACUGGAAUUCCUGGUGUAGCGGUGAAAUGCGCAGAUAUCAGGAGGAACACCGGUGGCGAAGGCGGGUCUYUGGG
rnacentral:rRNA from 1 species